rnacentral:rRNA from 1 species
CAGUCGCCACGGGAAAACGGAGGGGGCUAGCGUUGUUCGGAAUUACUGGGCGUAAAGCGCACGUAGGCGGCUUGGUAAGUUAGAGGUGAAAGCCCGGAGCUCAACUCCGGAAUUGCCUUUAAGACUGCCGAGCUAGCAGGUGAGAGAGGUAAGUGGAAUUCCGAGUGUAGAGGUGAAAUUCGUAGAUAUUCGGAAGAACACCAGUGGCGAAGGCGGCUUACUGGCUCAUACUGGACGCUGAGGUGCGAAAGCGUGGGGAGCAAACAGGAUUAGAUACCCCAGUAGUCCCUGUCUCUUAUAA